GCCGGCUAGGUCUGUGGUUGAAAGUCGAUGCCAGUCGUAGGCGAAACGAUCCACGUAAGCCAACUAUUGGUUGGUGAUCAUGGUGCGGCUUAGGAGUAAGUCCCAGCUUCGUUUGAUCCACAGGGGAUCUUCGUUAGUCAAAGUUGGUGAUCAUUCUUUUAAUUGAUCACCUAGGGCAAGUGUGGGGUCAAAGACCAGGUCAGCUAGUCGGU
rnacentral:ncRNA from 1 species